rnacentral:tRNA from 1 species
AAAUAUUAAGUAGAUUUUCUACAUCUAAUUACGGUUUAGGAGGAUUAUUAUUUU